rnacentral:snRNA from 1 species
AUUGCUUUUUAGCCUUUUGGCUAAGAUAUGUGUAAUAUCUAUACAUAUCAGUUUAAUAUCUGACACAUUGUCUUACUUCAAGGACAAUAGGGCUGGGGAUUUAGCUCAGUGGUUCCACCGCCUGCCUCGCAAGCGCAAGGACCCGAGUUUGA